rnacentral:lncRNA from 10 species
GUUCAUGCCUGAGUGUUGUGGAACUGAAGAACCAGAGAGGAGGCGGUGCUGCUGUUCUAGUUUAAGGGUAGUGGCGCUGGAGAUCCUGGGGAGAGCCGGUGCCGUCGUUUAAAUCUGUGGGUCCUGGAGCUGGAGCCCUAGGCAGGAGCUGGUGUUGUUGUUGUUGAAAUCCGAGGUCAUGGGGCUUGAGGUACAGGGAGGAUCCGCUGCUGCUGUUCAAGUCUGAGGGUCGUGUAGCUAGAGAGCGGGGAGGAGCCAGUGCUGCUGUUCUAGUUUGAGGGUAGUGGAGCUGGAGAUCCCGGGAAGAGCUGGUGCUGUCCUUUAAAUCUGUGGGUCCUGGA